rnacentral:rRNA from 1 species
UUCGGGUGGAGCGGCGGACGGGUUAGUAACGCGUGGGAAUAUACCCUUCACUAUGGAAUAGCCUCGGGAAACUGAGAGUAAUACCAUAUACGCCCUUCGGGGGAAAGAUUUAUCGGUGAAGGAUUAGCCCGCGUAAGAUUAGAUAGUUGGUGGGGUAAUGGCCUACCAAGUCUACGAUCUUUAGCUGGUUUUAGAGGAUGAUCAGCAACACUGGGACUGAGACACGGCCCAGACUCCUACGGGAGGCAGCAGUGGGGAAUCUUAGACAAUGGGCGAAAGCCUGAUCUAGCCAUGCCGCGUGAGUGAUGAAGGUCUUAGGAUCGUAAAGCUCUUUCGCUAGGGAUGAUAAUGACAGUACCUAGUAAAGAAGCCCCGGCUAACUCCGUGCCAGCAGCCGCGGUAAUACGGAGGGGGCUAGCGUUGUUCGGAAUUACUGGGCGUAAAGCGUACGUAGGCGGAUCAGAAAGUAUGGGGUGAAAUCCCAGGG